UAGGGAAUAUUAGAAAUGGACGAAAGUCUGAUCUAGCAACACCGCGUGUGCGAAGAAGGCCUUCGGGUCGUAAAGCACUUUUUGGAAGGAAUAGGAAGGAAUGUACUUCCGGAAUAAGUCUCGGCUAACUACGUGCCAGCAGCCGCGGUAACACGUAGGAGGCGAACGUUAUCCGGAUUUACUGGGCGUAAAGCGCGUGUAGGUGGUACUGUAAGUAGGGCGUGAAAGCUCCUGGCUCAACUGGGAGAGGCCGUUCUAAACUACAGAACUAGAGGGUGGUAGAGGGGGGGGGGAUUCCAGGGGGAGCGGGGGAAUGCGCAGAUAUCCGGAGGAACACCGGUGGCGGAGGCGGCCUCCU
rnacentral:rRNA from 1 species